CACCGGUCCCCUCGCAACGAUAGGCUGAAAACCCCGCCAGGCCCGGAAGGGAGCAACGGUAUUGGCUGACUCGUGUGCCGGGGUGUGGCUGGUGUUA
rnacentral:SRP_RNA from 1 species